UUUCAUCUCUAUUACACUAUAUCAUUUUAUGCUGGUAGUUUACCUUCUUGGUCAUUUCAUAUAUGCCGUUAUUUGUAAUGCAUUUAUCUUGCUGUGGAUUGAUGGUUCGGGCUAGAAUUUAAUUUGGUCGCUUCUGACCUGUAACUUCUCCUGUUAUGUUUAACUUUGAAAUGCUUUCAAACAAUUUGGCUUGUGAGCUAUAAAUUAAUCGCCUUUUUUUGUUCUGGGUCUGAUUACUGAGCCGGGAGGGAAAAUAAAGAAAGAAUCUCAGCACCGAUUAAACUCAUUUUACUUCUGCUUCCGUUGGUACAGCCGGAGAGGAACUCAAACAUUGUCUCCCGAUCUAUUAUUUCAAGAUGGAAUUGAACCGCUAGGACAAUUUGAUAUUUUCCAAUAAACGUUGUAUUUGAAAUUUUAGAUUUGAUUAAAAAUAAGGAGUAAGCACAACCCUCUUGUUAGAGUUUAAAUGUGAGGGGUGAGAAAGUGGUGAAAAAUUGUGGAAUAAAACUGUUGUGUGGAUAAAGGGUGCAUAAGAUCUUGUGAGGUGAUUGCUUCUAAAGCAUUAUGCUGCAAAUUUAUUGUAUUUGACAACUUGUAUCAUUGAAUCAGCAUGUUCAAGCUAAUGCUCAUUACGUGCGAAUGUUCACUUCUCUCAUUUAAUGUGGAAUUAGAGUUUAAAAAUAGAAUGAAAUAUCUUUAGUUUUUCUAAAUGGUAAUUUGGGCUUGGUUGGAGGUGAGUUUGAGCGAGUAGCAGGACACACAUCAAAAGUGCACACAUAUGGCACACAGUUUGUUAUUACUGGAUUCAACUAUUUGUUUUUGUGCAACUGGUGCUGAAAUUUGCAUAUUUUGUUAUGUAUAAAGGUACAGGUGAUUUGGGCGAGCGACCCAGUUUCACAACGGAGGGGAGGAG
rnacentral:misc_RNA from 1 species